AUACGGAGGAUCCGAGCGUUAUCCGGAUUUAUUGGGUUUAAAGGGAGCGUAGGUGGAUUGUUAAGUCAGUUGUGAAAGUUUGCGGCUCAACCGUAAAAUUGCAGUUGAAACUGGCAGUCUUGAGUACAGUAGAGGUGGGCGGAAUUCGGGGUGUAGCGGUGAAAUGCUUAGAUAUCACGAAGAACUCCGAUUGCGAAGGCAGCUCACUAGACUGUUACUGACACUGAUGCUCGAAAGUGUGGGUAUCAAACAGGAUUAGAUACCCUGGUAGUCCACACAGUAAACGAUGAAUACUCGCUGUUUGCGAUAUACAGUAAGCGGCCAAGCGAAAGCAUUAAGUAUUCCACCUGGGGAGUACGCCGGCAACGGUGAAACUCAAAGGAAUUGACGGGG
rnacentral:rRNA from 1 species